UUACGGCCACAUCAUGUUGAAACACCGGUUCCUGUACGAUCACCGAAGUUAAGCAACGCCGAGCUUGGUCAGUACCUUGAUUGGGAAUACCAGAUGCUGUCAG